rnacentral:rRNA from 1 species
GAUUAGAUACCCUGGUAGUCCACGCAGUAAACGAUGAAUACUAGCUGUUGGCGAUAUAGUGUCAGCGGUACAGCGAAAGUGUUAAGUAUUCCACCUGGGGAGUACGCCGGCAACGGUGAAACUCAAAGGAAUUGACGGGGGCCCGCACAAGCGGAGGAACAUGUGGUUUAAUUCGAUGAUACGCGAGGAACCUUACCCGGGCUUGAAAGUUAGUGGAUGUCCCUGAAAGGGGGCAGGCUCGCAAGAGACACGAAACUAGGUGCUGCAUGGUUGUCGUCAGCUCGUGCCGUGAGGUGUCGGCUUAAGUGCCAUAACGAGCGCAACCCCUGCCGUUAGUUGCCAUCAAGUAAAGUUGGGAACUCUAGCGGGACUGCUACUGUAAGGUAGAGGAGGGUGGGGAUGACGUCAAAUCAGCACGGCCCUUACGUCCGGGGCGACACACGUGUUACAAUGGGUGGUACAGAGGGUUGCUACUGCGCGAGCAGGUGCUAAUCUCCUAAAACCAUCCUCAGUUCGGAUCGGAGUCUGCAACUCGACUCCGUGAAGCUGGAUUCGCUAGUAAUCGCGCAUCAGCCAUGGCGCGGUGAAUACGUUCCCGGGCCUUGUACACACCGCCCGUCAAGCCAUGGAAGCCGGGGGUACCUGAAGUUCGUGACCGCGAGGAGCGACCUAGGGUAAAACUGGUAACUGGGGCUAAGUCGUAACAAGGUAGCCGUACCGGAAGGUGCGGCUG